rnacentral:pre_miRNA from 1 species
GAGUCAAGUAAUCUUGGUUAAAAAUAUCAAAUCUCUUUAACCGGAUAUAUUUGACUACAG